rnacentral:rRNA from 1 species
AGAGUUUGAUCAUGGCUCAGGAUGAACGCUAGCUACAGGCUUAACACAUGCAAGUCGAGGGGCAGCAUGGUCUUAGCUUGCUAAGGCUGAUGGCGACCGGCGCACGGGUGAGUAACACGUAUCCAACCUGCCGUCUACUCUUGGCCAGCCUUCUGAAAGGAAGAUUAAUCCAGGAUGGGAUCAUGAGUUCACAUGUCCGCAUGAUUAAAGGUAUUUUCCGGUAGACGAUGGGGAUGCGUUCCAUUAGAUAGUUGGGGGGUAACGCCACCAAGCCGACGAUGUCUAGGGGUUCUGGAGAGGAAGGUCCCCCANACUGGAACUGAGACACGGUCCAGACUCCGUACGGGAGGCAC